GCGGGAGUAUUAGUUCGCCUUCUAAGCGUACGGUCAGAGGUUCGAAUCCUCUAAGGCGCG
rnacentral:tRNA from 1 species